GGCCGCGUAGCGCAGUGGAUUAGCGCGUAAGACUUCGGAUCUGAAGGUCGUGGGUCCGAAUCCCACCGUUGUCG
rfam:Selaginella moellendorffii unplaced genomic scaffold SELMOscaffold_46, whole genome shotgun sequence.